GCCGUGGUAGCUCAGUGGUAGAGCAUCGAACGAGUUAUCCGAAGGUUGCAGGUUCGGUUCCUGCUCACGGCA
rnacentral:tRNA from 1 species